rnacentral:rRNA from 1 species
UGCGGAACGGGUGAGUAAUGCAUCGGGAACGUGCCCAGUAGUGGGGGAUAGCCCGGCGAAAGCCGGAUUAAUACCGCAUGAGACCUGAGGGUGAAAGCGGGGGAUCGCAAGACCUCGCGCUACUGGAGCGGCCGAUGUCAGAUUAGCUAGUUGGUGGGGUAAAGGCCUACCAAGGCAACGAUCUGUAGUUGGUCUGAGAGGACGACCAGCCACACUGGGACUGAGACACGGCCCAGACUCCUACGGGAGGCAGCAGUGGGGAAUUUUGGACAAUGGGCGCAAGCCUGAUCCAGCAAUGCCGCGUGCAGGAAGAAGGCCUUCGGGUUGUAAACUGCUUUUGUCAGGGAAGAAAUCCUCUGGGUUAAUACCUCGGGGGGAUGACGGUACCUGAAGAAU